rnacentral:rRNA from 1 species
GCAGGUUGGCCACCCAGUUAUCAGCACAAGUUAAAAAAUGGGCAACUCUGCAGUCAUUGCGCAGGCACUUUGGUGACUCUAGAUAACCUUGGGCCAAUCGCAUGGGUAACGGGGAAUCAGGGUUUGAUUCCGGAGGGGGAGCCUGAGAAACGGCUACCACAUCCAAGGAAGGCAGCAGGCGCGCAAAUUACCCACUCCCGACACUGGGAGAUAGUGAC